rnacentral:lncRNA from 1 species
CUCAGGAAGACAAAGCCACACCUCACACCGCUCAGGAAGACAAAGCCACACCUCACACCGCUCAGGAAGACAAAGCCACACCUCACACCGCUCAGGAAGACAAAGCCACACCUCACACUGUUCAGGAAGACAAAGCCACACCUCACACCGCUCAGGAAGACAAAGCCACACCUCACACCAUUAAGGAGACAAAGCCACACCUCACACCACUCAGGAAGACAAAGCCACACCUCACACCGCUCAGGAAGACAAAGCCACACCUCACACCACUCAGGAAGACAAAGCCACACCUCACACCGUUCAGGAAGACAAAGCCACACCUCACACCAUUAAGGAGACAAAGCCACACCUCACACCACUCAGGAAGACAAAGCCACACCUCACACCGCUCCAGAAGACAAAGCCACACCUCACACCGCUCAGGAAGACAAAGCCACACCUCACACCGCUCAGGAAGACAAAGCCACACCUCACACCGCUCAGGAAGACAAAGCCACACCUCACACCGCUCAGGAAGACAAAGCCACACCUCACACCGUUCGGGAGACAAAGCCACAGCUCACACUGCUCAGGAAGACAAAGCCACACCUCACACUGCUCAGGAAGACAAAGCCACACCUCACAGUGUGAGUGGAGAGGAAGAAUGUGGGGACGCCACAGCCCUGGGUCCUAGAAAAGACAGUUGCCUGAGUACCCAGCUACAUUCCACGGGUUUCAGGAACAAACUCACAGACUGUGUCUGUUCCCUUCUGAACUCAGCUCAGACUCCUGCCUGCUGUUGAAGAACAGCGGCGGGAACGUUCUGCGAGUAAAUGCAGAGGAAACACCCCAGGCACCCAUGCAGAGGGGGAAGCCUGGGGGCUUCCCUCGGGGAACCUCCCUCAGGACAGAGAAGACAAGCCGGCAGACAGGACAGGGCUGGACAGAGGCUGCCCCGCGUGCGGCCAGAACCACAGAUCCGCCAGCAGUGGUGCCCAGGUGGCCGUGGAGGAGGG